rnacentral:rRNA from 1 species
UACGGAGGGUGCAAACGUUGCUCGGAAUCAUUGGGCGUAAAGCGCUCGUAGGCGGUCUGUUAAGUCGGGUGUGAAAGCCCUGGGCUCAACCCAGGAAGUGCACUCGAAACUGUCAGGCUUGAAUAUGGAAGAGGGUCGCGGAAUUCCCGGUGUAGAGGUGAAAUUCGUAGAUAUCGGGAGGAACACCAGUGGCGAAGGCGGCGACCUGGGCCUAUAUUGACGCUGAGGUGCGAAAGCGUGGGGAGCAAACAGG